AACGAACGCUGGCGGCAUGCCUAACACAUGCCAGUCGAACGAGACCUUCGGGUCUAGUUGCGCACGGGUGCGUAACGCGUGGGAACCUGCCCUUAGGUUCGGAAUAACUCCCCGAAAGGGGUGCUAAUACCGGAUAAUGUCUUCGGACCAAAGAUUUAUCGCCUUUGGAUGGGCCCGCGUUGGAUUAGCUAGUUGGUAGGGUAAAAGCCUACCAAGGCGACGAUCCAUAGCUGGUCUGAGAGGAUGAUCAGCCACACUGGGACUGAGACACGGCCCAGACUCCUACGGGAGGCAGCAGUGGGGAAUAUUGGACAAUGGGCGAAAGCCUGAUCCAGCAAUGCCGCGUGAGUGAUGAAGGCCUUAGGGUUGUAAAGCUCUUUUACACGGGAUGAUAAUGACAGUACCGGGAGAAUAAGCUCCGGCUAACUCCGUG
rnacentral:rRNA from 1 species